AAGAUCAUUCGCCCUCACUUUUAAAGUUCUUCUUAUUAUUCUUUGCAAAAGAUGAGGCCCAAAGCCCAAGCCCAAGCCCAAGAAGGCCAAAGCCCAAAAAGCCCAAGUUCAUCUCAUGAAGGGCAAGGCCAAGUAUUAAAUAAUAAAGAAUAUUGUUGAAGGUGCUUAGAGGGAAACAUUAGAAACCUCUAUUGUUAAAGCAUCUUUUAGUCUUUAGUUAGGAGUUUUAGGGGGGGUGUGUUAGUAGAUAGGUGUAGGAGUAAAUAAGGAGGUGCCAAAGUGAGAGAAGGGAUCACACCUUCCUCAUGCAUUGUUUUAGGCGCCAAUUCUAGAAGCUUUUAGGAGGGAGUUUUUUGAAUUUGUGUAGCUUACAUUUCAGC
rnacentral:lncRNA from 1 species